rnacentral:rRNA from 1 species
CCCUUAGAUGUCCUGAGCCGCACGCGCGUUACACUGAUGCAUUCAACGAGCUUAUAACCUUGGCCGAGAGGCCUGGGCAAUCUUGUUAACGUGCAUCGUGAUAGGGAUAGAUUAUUGAAAUUAUUAAUCUUGAACGAGGAAUUCCUAGUAAACGCAGAUCAUCAAUCUGCAUUGAUUACGUCCCUGCCCUUUGUACACACCGCCCGUCGCACCUACCGAUUGGAUGGUCCGGUGAAGCCUCGGGAUUGUGGUUCUUGCCGCUUUAUUGUAGCGUGACCGCGAGAACUUGUCUAAACCUUAUCAUCUAGAGGAAGGUGAAGUCGUAACA